rnacentral:rRNA from 1 species
UACGUAGGGUGCAAGCGUUAAUCGGAAUUACUGGGCGUAAAGCGUGCGCAGGCGGUUUUGUAAGUCUGUCGUGAAAUCCCCGGGCUCAACCUGGGAAUUGCGAUGGAGACUGCAAGGCUAGAAUCUGGCAGAGGGGGUAGAAUUCCACGUGUAGCAGUGAAAUGCGUAGAGAUGUGGAGGAACACCGAUGGCGAAGGCAGCCCCCCUGGGUCAAGAU